rnacentral:rRNA from 1 species
AUUGAACGCUGGCGGCAGGCUUAACACAUGCAAGUCGAGCGAGCGGCGGACGGGUGAGUAAUGUAUGGGAAACUGCCUGAUGGAGGGGGAUAACUACUGGAAACGGUAGCUAAUACCGCAUACCAUCAGAUGUGCCCAGAUGGGAUUAGCGUGUAGGUAGGGUAAUGGCUCACCUAGGCGACGAUCCCUAGCUGGUCUGAGAGGAUGACCAGCCACACUGGAACUGAGACACGGUCCAGACUCCUACGGGAGGCAGCAGUGGGGAAUAUUGCACAAUGGGCGCAAGCCUGAUGCAGCCAUGCCGCGUGUAUGAAGAAGGCCUUCGGGUUGUAAAGUACUUUCAGCCGGGAGGCGUUACCCGCAGAAGAAGCACCGGCUAACUCCGUGCCAGCAGCCGCGGUAAUAC